rnacentral:rRNA from 1 species
GGUUAAGCGACUAAGCGUACACGGUGGAUGCCCUGGCAGUCAGAGGCGAUGAAGGACGUGCUAAUCUGCGAAAAGCGUCGGUAAGGUGAUAUGAACCGUUAUAGCCGGCGAUGUCCGAAUGGGGAAACCCAGUGCAAUUCGUUGCACUAUCGUUAACUGAAUACAUAGGUUAACGAGGCGAACCGGGGGAACUGAAACAUCUAAGUACCCCGAGGAAAAGAAAUCAACCGAGAUUCCCCCAGUAGCGGCGAGCGAACGGGGAGCAGCCCAGAGUCUGAAUCAGCUUGUGUGUUAGUGGAACGGUCUGGAAAGUCCGACGGUACAGGGUGAUAGUCCCGUACACCAAAAUGCACAGGUUGUGAACUCGAAGAGUAGGGCGGGACACGUGGUAUCCUGUCUGAAUAUGGGGGGGACCAUCCUCCAAGGCUAAAUACUCCUGACUGACCGAUAGUGAACCAGUACCGUGAGGGAAAGGCGAAAAGAACCCCGGCGAGGGGAGUGAAAAAGAACCUGAAACCGUGUACGUACAAGCAGUGGGAGCACCUUCGGGUGUGACUGCGUACCUUUUGUAUAAUGGGUCAGCGACUUAUAUUCUGUAGCAAGGUUAACCGUAUAGGGGAGCCGCAGGGAAACCGAGUCUUAACUGGGCGUUAAGUUGCAGGGUAUAGACCCGAAACCCGGUGAUCUAGCCAUGGGCAGGUUGAAGGUUGGGUAACACUAACUGGAGGACCGAACCGACUAAUGUUGAAAAAUUAGCGGAUGACUUGUGGCUGGGGGUGAAAGGCCAAUCAAACCGGGAGAUAGCUGGUUCUCCCCGAAAGCUAUUUAGGUAGCGCCUCGUGAACUCAUCUUCGGGGGUAGAGCACUGUUUCGGCUAGGGGGUCAUCCCGACUUACCAACCCGAUGCAAACUACGAAUACCGAAGAAUGUUAUCACGGGAGACACACGGCGGGUGCUAACGUCCGUCGUGAAGAGGGAAACAACCCAGACCGCCAGCUAAGGUCCCAAAGUCAUGGUUAAGUGGGAAACGAUGUGGGAAGGCACAGACAGCCAGGAUGUUGGCUUAGAAGCAGCCAUCAUUUAAAGAAAGCGUAAUAGCUCACUGGUCGAGUCGGCCUGCGCGGAAGAUGUAACGGGGCUAAACCAUGCACCGAAGCUGCGGCAGCGACACUAUGUGUUGUUGGGUAGGGGAGCGUUCUGUAAGCCUGCGAAGGUGACCUGUGAGGGUUGCUGGAGGUAUCAGAAGUGCGAAUGCUGACAUAAGUAACGAUAAAGCGGGUGAAAAGCCCGCUCGCCGGAAGACCAAGGGUUCCUGUCCAACGUUAAUCGGGGCAGGGUGAGUCGACCCCUAAGGCGAGGCCGAAAGGCGUAGUCGAUGGGAAACAGGUUAAUAUUCCUGUACUUGGUGUUACUGCGAAGGGGGACGGAGAAGGCUAUGUUAGCCGGGCGACGGUUGUCCCGGUUUAAGCAUGUAGGCUGGUUGUCCAGGCAAAUCCGGAUAAUCAAGGCUGAGGUGUGAUGACGAGGUACUACGGUGCUGAAGUAACAAAUGCCCUGCUUCCAGGAAAAGCCUCUAAGCAUCAGGUAACAUCAAAUCGUACCCCAAACCGACACAGGUGGUCAGGUAGAGAAUACCAAGGCGCUUGAGAGAACUCGGGUGAAGGAACUAGGCAAAAUGGUGCCGUAACUUCGGGAGAAGGCACGCUGGUGUGUAGGUGAAGUCCCUGCGGAUGGAGCUGAGACCAGUCGAAGAUACCAGCUGGCUGCAACUGUUUAUUAAAAACACAGCACUGUGCAAACACGAAAGUGGACGUAUACGGUGUGACGCCUGCCCGGUGCCGGAAGGUUAAUUGAUGGGGUUAUCCGUAAGGAGAAGCUCUUGAUCGAAGCCCCGGUAAACGGCGGCCGUAACUAUAACGGUCCUAAGGUAGCGAAAUUCCUUGUCGGGUAAGUUCCGACCUGCACGAAUGGCGUAAUGAUGGCCAGGCUGUCUCCACCCGAGACUCAGUGAAAUUGAACUCGCUGUGAAGAUGCAGUGUACCCGCGGCAAGACGGAAAGACCCCGUGAACCUUUACUAUAGCUUGACACUGAACAUUGAGCCUUGAUGUGUAGGAUAGGUGGGAGGCUUUGAAGCGUGGACGCCAGUCUGCGUGGAGCCAACCUUGAAAUACCACCCUUUAAUGUUUGAUGUUCUAACGUUGGCCCCUGACCGGGGUUGCGGACAGUGUCUGGUGGGUAGUUUGACUGGGGCGGUCUCCUCCCAAAGCGUAACGGAGGAGCACGAAGGUUAGCUAAUCCUGGUCGGACAUCAGGAGGUUAGUGCAAUGGCAUAAGCUAGCUUGACUGCGAGCGUGACGGCGCGAGCAGGUGCGAAAGCAGGUCAUAGUGAUCCGGUGGUUCUGAAUGGAAGGGCCAUCGCUCAACGGAUAAAAGGUACUCCGGGGAUAACAGGCUGAUACCGCCCAAGAGUUCAUAUCGACGGCGGUGUUUGGCACCUCGAUGUCGGCUCAUCACAUCCUGGGGCUGAAGUAGGUCCCAAGGGUAUGGCUGUUCGCCAUUUAAAGUGGUACGCGAGCUGGGUUUAGAACGUCGUGAGACAGUUCGGUCCCUAUCUGCCGUGGGCGCUGGAGAAUUGAGGGGGGCUGCUCCUAGUACGAGAGGACCGGAGUGGACGCAUCACUGGUGUUCGGGUUGUCAUGCCAAUGGCACUGCCCGGUAGCUAAAUGCGGAAGAGAUAAGUGCUGAAAGCAUCUAAGCACGAAACUUGCCCCGAGAUGAGUUCUCCCUGAGACUUUAAGUCUCCUGAAGGAACGUUGAAGACGACGACGUUGAUAGGCCGGGUGUGUAAGCGCAGCGAUGCGUUGAGCUAACCGGUACUAAUGAACCGUGAGGCUUAACCUU